AACUCGCUGUGAAGAUGCAGUGUACCCGCGGCAAGACGGAAAGACCCCGUGAACCUUUACUAUAGCUUGACACUGAACAUUGAGCCUUGAUGUGUAGGAUAGGUGGGAGGCUUUGAAGUGUGGACGCCAGUCUGCAUGGAGCCGACCUUGAAAUACCACCCUUUAAUGUUUGAUGUUCUAACGUGGACCCGUAAUCCGGGUUGCGGACAGUGUCUGGUGGGUAGUUUGACUGGGGCGGUCUCCUCCUAAAGAGUAACGGAGGAGCACGAAGGUUGGCUAAUCCUGGUCGGACAUCAGGAGGUUAGUGCAAUGGCAUAAGCCAGCUUGACUGCGAGCGUGACGGCGCGAGCAGGUGCGAAAGCAGGUCAUAGUGAUCCGGUGGUUCUGAAUGGAAGGGCCAUCGCUCAACGGAUAAAAGGUACUCCGGGGAUAACAGGCUGAUACCGCCCAAGAGUUCAUAUCGACGGCGGUGUUUGGCACCUCGAUGUCGGCUCAUCACAUCCUGGGGCUGAAGUAGGUCCCAAGGGUAUGGCUGUUCGCCAUUUAAAGUGGUACGCGAGCUGGGUUUAGAACGUCGUGAGACAGUUCGGUCCCUAUCUGCCGUGGGCGCUGGAGAACUGAGGGGGGCUGCUCCUAGUACGAGAGGACCGGAGUGGACGCAUCACUGGUGUUCGGGUUGUCAUGCCAAUGGCACUGCCCGGUAGCUAAAUGCGGAAGAGAUAAGUGCUGAAAGCAUCUAAGCACGAAACUUGCCCCGAGAUGAGUUCUCCCUGAGACUUAGAGU
rnacentral:rRNA from 1 species